UGGUUCUUACAAAGGCUUUAGAAUGCAGUUUCUGGUUUGCUGUAGAGUUGACCAUAAAAAACCCCUCCCUACUAAGCUUUCUUGUUGCUAUCUUGCUAGCAUUCAGCCUAUUGGGAACAUUC
rnacentral:snoRNA from 1 species